CAGCCGUAAACUAUGCGCGUUAGGUGUAUCGGUGACCACGAGUUACCGAGGUGCCGAAGGGAAACCGUGAAACGUGCCGCCUGGGAGUACGGUCGCAAGGCUGAAACUUAAAGGAAUUGGCGGGGGAGCACCACAACAGGUGGAGCCUGCGGUUUAAUUGGACUCAACGCCGGGAAGCUCACCGGAUAGGACAGCAGAAUGAUUGCCGGGCUGAAGACCCUGCAUGACUAGCUGAGAGGUGGUGCAUGGCGUCAGUGACU
rnacentral:rRNA from 1 species